GAGAGAAACCCGACUGGUAACGGUAACUGCUAAUUUUCGCCUUCUUGGUUUGACCCCAGGAUUCACUCG
rnacentral:tRNA from 1 species